ACGGGCGGCAACGUAUGUGGAGUCGCCGUUAACGGCGGGCGAAAUGAAUGCAUCCCCAUCUACCAGCUUCGGCCCCUGUUUUCAGCGAAAGGGGAUCGAGCCGAGUAAAAAUUAGAGCCGGAGGGCGGCGUCGGUGGCGGCUACGUCGGCGACAUUCUCGCACACCGAUUCCCUGCUCGCGUCGCCGGACGUGGUCUCCGAUUAGUGGUUGCGCGGACGUGGCGAUGGAUUUUCCCGUAGCUCCGAUGGACAGGUUGCCCAUAUUCCCGGAUGAGGCAUCUAGCGCGGCGGCCCUAAUUGAAUUGAUUGGUGGGGCUGGUCGUGCGAAAAGGAAUUAGCCAACGGAUCUCGCCGGGCGGUGGUCGGAGGAUUUGGGCGCAGCUCAGCUGGGCAGUUCGGGGGUGGUGCCAUGUGCGGCGAGGAAACAAGUGUGGCUGCCGGCAGCUCUGCCGUGUAAACGCAGAUGCCGUUGACCAGGGCGGCGUUGAAACACAUUUUGAUUGAGAUCAGGGCGCUGUGAUUUAAGAUCGAACAGGAAGUGGCGAUGGAGGCUCUGCGCAAUCGACUGGCAAGGUGGAUCCCCAAGCCUCUGGAUGGACUAAGAGUUUGUUAUGCUGGCCAGUGAAUGGUCAGUUUGAUAAAAUCAUUAUUUGGGGACUUCUUGCUGACGGCGGAGAGAGCUGCGGCUCUGAGGCCUUCUGUUGGUGGCCGUGCAUCGAGCAUGACCAAGCUAGCAAUGUUGCCAAGAGAAAGAAGAUGGCUACAUCCAUUAGCUGCUCAAGCUCCGGUGUCCUCACGUCAGGCUUGGCUUUGAGUGCUGACAGCAAAGCAUUCUACAUGGUAUGCACCCAGGUCCGCUUCAUCUGCUGGGAUAUAUCUAGGUUUGGACCUAUUGCAAAUUGCUGAUCUUCAAUAUGCUGCAUUAAUACCGGGAGGGAUCAGUUGAUGGUGUCUUCAGCCAAAUUGCUGAUCUAUCCGAUGAGAACGGGGAAGCUGCAGCCGACUCCAGAGAGGACGAUGACCACAACAUAGAGCCAUAGAGGUUGUGGCAGAGCUUGAUCCCGACGCCAACCAUCUGCUUGGCGAGGCGGAGCAGCCUGUUCUGUAAGAAUAUGAUGAGUUUGUGAUGGUUUGGAAAACUGACGAAGAUUCAGAGGGUAAAGAAGAAGUGGCAAGCCACAAGCGUCCUCGCCUGUGCUAGACGCUAAAUCAAGUCAAUGGACCAGUUGACUAGAACUAGAAAUUAAGUGCGUGUAUUUUGUGUUUACGCCUCCGUGUAUUUUGCUGGAAUCUUAGUGUGUGUCCAUUGCUGGGAGGAACUGUCUCUAAAUUAGUUGUUAUUAUUUUUUUGAGAA